rnacentral:rRNA from 1 species
CGUGUAGGCGGUCGGUCAAGUCCGAUGUGAAAGCCCGGGGCUUACCUCCGGAAGUGCAUCGGAAACUAGCCGGCUGGAGCGCGAUAGAGGAGGGUAGAAUUCCUGGUGUAGCGGUGAAAUGCGUAGAUAUCAGGAGGAAUACCGGCGGCGAAGGCGGCCCUCUGGAUCGUUGCUGACGCUGAGACGCGAAAGCGUGGGGAGCGAACAGGAUUAGAUACCCUGGUAGUCCACGCUGUAAAACGAUGGGUACUAGGUGUUCGGGGUAUUGACCCCCUGAGUGCCGCAGCUAACGCAUUAAGUACCCCGCCUGGGGACUACGGCCGCGAAGGUUAAA